UACAGAGGUCUCAAGCGUUGUUCGGAUUCAUUGGGCGUAAAGGGUGCGUAGGCGGCGCGGUAAGUCGGGUGUGAAAUCUCGGGGCUUAACUCCGAAACUGCAUUCGAUACUGCCGUGCUUGAGGACUGGAGAGGAGACUGGAAUUUACGGUGUAGCGGUGAAAUGCGUAGAUAUCGUAAGGAAGACCAGUGGCGAAGGCGGGUCUCUGGGCCGAUACUGACGCUGAUGUGCGAAAGCUAGGGUAGCAAACGGG
rnacentral:rRNA from 1 species